rnacentral:rRNA from 1 species
GAUGAACGCUGGCGGCGUGCCUAAUACAUGCAAGUCGAGCGAACAGACGAGGAGCUUGCUCCUCUGACGUUAGCGGCGGACGGGUGAGUAACACGUGGAUAACCUACCUAUAAGACUGGGAUAACUUCGGGAAACCGGAGCUAAUACCGGAUAAUAUAUUGAACCGCAUGGUUCAAUAGUGAAAGACGGUUUUGCUGUCACUUAUAGAUGGAUCCGCGCCGCAUUAGCUAGUUGGUAAGGUAACGGCUUACCAAGGCGACGAUGCGUAGCCGACCUGAGAGGGUGAUAGGCCACACUGGAACUGAGACACGGUCCUGACUCCUAAGGGAGGCAGCAGUAGGGAAUCUGCCGCAAUGGGCGAAAGCCUGACGGAGCAACGCCGCGUGAGUGAUGAAGGUCUUCGGAUCGUAAAACUCUGUUAUUAGGGAAGAACAAAUGUGUAAGUAACUAUGCACGUCUUGACGGUACCUAAUCAGAAAGCCACGGCUAACUACGUG